GGGCGUAUUACCAAGGCGGAGACUGGUAGCCGGCCUGAGAGGGCGACCGGCCACACUGGGACUGAGACACGGCCCAGACUCCUACGGGAGGCAGCAGUGGGGAAUAUUGCACAAUGGGCGAAAGCCUGAUGCAGCGACGCCGCGUGAGGGAUGACGGCCUUCGGGUUGUAAACCUCUUUCAGCAGGGAAGAAGCGAAAGUGACGGUACCUGCAGAAGAAGCGCCGGCUAACUACGUGCCAGCAGCCGCGGUAAUACGUAGGGCGCAAGCGUUGUCCGGAAUUAUUGGGCGUAAAGAGCUCGUAGGCGGCUUGUCACGUCGGUUGUGAAAGCCCGGGGCUUAACCCCGGGUCUGCAGUCGAUACGGGCAGGCUAGAGUGUGGUAGGGGAGAUCGGAAUUCCUGGUGUAGCGGUGAAAUGCGCAGAUAUCAGGAGGAACACCGGUGGCGAAGGCGGAUCUCUGGGCCAUUACUGACGCUGAGGAGCGAAAGCGUGGGGAGCGAACAGGAUUAGAUACCCUGGUAGUCCACGCCGUAACGGUGGGAACUAGGUGUUGGCGACAUUCCACGUCGUCGGUGCCGCAGCUAACGCAUUAAGUUCCCCGCGGCG
rnacentral:rRNA from 1 species